rnacentral:rRNA from 1 species
UAAAGCAUAGCGCUAAUGCACCAGAUCUCAUUAGAACUCCAAAGUUAAGCACGCUCAGGAUAGAGUAGUACUGGAAUGGGUGACCACCCGAGAAGUCCUAGUGUUUUAC